GCUACGGGUGGCAGCAGUGGGGAAUAUUGGGCAAUGGACGCAAGUCUGACCCAGCAACGCCGCGUGAAGGAAGAAGGCUUUCGGGUUGUAAACUUCUUUUAAGGGGGAAGAGGAGAAGACGGUACCCCUUGAAUAAGCCACGGCUAACUACGUGCCAGCAGCCGCGGUAAUACGUAGGUGGCAAGCGUUGUCCGGAUUUACUGGGUGUAAAGGGCGUGCAGCCGGGCCGACAAGUCAGAUGUGAAAGCCGCGGGCUUAACCCGCGAACUGCAUUUGAAACUAUAGGUCUUGAGUGGGCGAGAAGUAUGCGGAAUGCGUGGUGUAGCGGUGAAAUGCAUAGAUAUCACGCAGAACUCCGAUUGCGAAGGCAGCAUACCGGCGCCCAACUGACGCUGAAGCACGAAAGCGUGGGUAUCGAACAGGAUUAGAUACCCGGGUAGUC
rnacentral:rRNA from 1 species